rnacentral:rRNA from 1 species
GGUGAACGCUGGCGGCGUGCCUAACACAUGCAGGUCGAGCGGGUACCCGCAAGGGUACCAGCGGCGCACGGGUGAGUAACACGUGGGUAAUCUACCCCUCGGAGGGGGAUAACCGGGGGAAACUCCGGCUAAUACCCCAUACGAUCCAACAACACAAGUUGUUGGAUGAAAGGAGCGUUUGCUCCGCCGAGGGAUGAGCCCGCGGCCCAUCAGGUAGUUGGUGGGGUAAUGGCCCACCAAGCCUACGACGGGUAGCCGGCCUGAGAGGGUGGUCGGCCACAAGGGCACUGAGACACGGGCCCUACUCCUACGGGAGGCAGCAGUGGGGAAUCUUGGACAAUGGGCGAAAGCCUGAUCCAGCGACGCCGCGUGGGGGAUGAAGCCCUUCGGGGUGUAAACCCCUGUUGCGAGGGAGGAAUAAGGCCUGGAGGAAAUGCCAGGCCGAUGACUGUACCUCGCGAGGAAGCCCCGGCUAACUACGUGCCAGCAGCCGCGGUAAUACGUAGGGGGCGAGCGUUACCCGGAUUCACUGGGCGUAAAGCGGGUGUAGGCGGCUCGGUAAGUCGGGUGUGAAAUCCCACAGCUCAACUGUGGAAUUGCGCCCGAAACUGCUGAGCUUGGGGCCGGUAGAGGGAGACGGAACUGCCGGUGUAGGGGUGAAAUCCGUAGAUAUCGGCAGGAACGCCGGUGGGGAAGCCGGUCUCCUGGGCCGCGCCCGACGCUGAGACCCGAAAGCUAGGGGAGCAAACC